UACGGGGGGAGCAAGCGUUGUUCGGAUUUACUGGGCGUAAAGGGCGCGUGGGCGGCGCAACAAGUCACUUGUGAAAUCUCCGGGCUUAACCCGGAGCGGCCAAGUGAUACUGUCGUGCUAGAGUGCGGAAGGGGCUACUGGAAUUCUCGGUGUAGCGGUGAAAUGCGUAGAUAUCGAGAGGAACACCUGCGGCGAAGGCGGGUAGCUGGGCCGACACUGACGCUGAGGCGCGAAAGCCAGGGGAGCGAACGGG
rnacentral:rRNA from 1 species